GUGCUUUGCUAUUUUCAUUG
rnacentral:miRNA from 1 species